UGAAUACAUGUUUGUUUUAUUUGUCUAUAUCUUAGAUUCGCAGCUGGACACAUCCUUCUACACUGUAUGCAAACAUGCAACAUCAUUACACACAGUACAAGGAGUCAGACUGGCAUAUGAGGAGCAAAGGAACCCAGGCAGUAGCAUCGUUUCACAAUGUUUCCAUCACCAUCAUCAGUGGAUGCCUUUGCCGUCCGUAGCCUGAGAUUUCAGAUUUGCAGCAAAUUUUUUUUGAUUUUCUCAUUUAUUGGAAUGCUGUGCAGGUAUUUGUACCUUGCAGCCAUCCAUUACAAUGUCACCAAGCCGUAACAAAAGCAGGAGAGGGAAAGUACA